UAUCAGUUACAAAAACCACUGGAAAUAAUAGC
rnacentral:piRNA from 1 species